CUCGAUUGUUCGUGGUGUUGAUAGCUAACCUGUCACCAAACAUCAAAAUUCAAACCAGUCUGUUAUUCAUAUUUUGUUUGAGUAGGUAUACUAACUGUAGAAUAUUUACUCCUGAGCUCCUAAUUUAAUUGUUGAAAACAUUAGGUUUUGAUAUGUGCAGCAUACCAAUUUAAUAGUCUCAAAAUUCAGCGUUUCAUUGAUCAAGUUGGUACCAUACUGAAAACAAAAUGGAAAAGUUGACUGUUUUAUUUGUUGGUGUGGUGGUGAUGACGGUUUUUUUGCAACUGAUUACAACGAAUGCCCUUCCUAUUCCUGAAAGAGAUGGUAAUUGGAGUCCUUACUGAUCAUUCUGAACAGUGAAAUCGUGGAAAUGAUGUUAAUAGUACCUAUAUACCUACGUACCUAUACUUAAAUAAGAAUUAAGAACUGAAGUUUUGCAAGUUCUGAGCAGAAGUACCUAUUUUUGUUUCAGAGAUGAUUUGCAGGUAAAUAAAUUGUAAACUCAUGGUAAGUUUGAUUUUUAUUUGACGUUCAGCUUUGUAAAAAUAUUGUAAAACAAUUAAAACAAACGCUAACUAAGAAGAAUUCUUCGAGCCAAUAUUAUUUUAACUUAUUUUCUCGUCAGGCUGAAGUUCUUGAGCUUCAACAAAUUUUUUAAAUGAACAUUUUGUAAAAAACCUUACAAAUGAACUACAGAGGUAGCAGGUAAGUAGGUACAUAUUUAUAGGAUUUCUCACCUGAAAUUUUUUAGAGAUAGGUACCGAGGAUAAUUUCCUAUUACAAACCCACUUAUUCCAGUUUUUUAAAAAAAAUUGGAAAAUUUUUUGUAAGGAAAGUUUCUAAAAACCAUUUGCAUUUGGAAAGUGUUUGAGACAACUGACCUAAAUACCACACCUACCUACAGAAGAUUUUCUGUUUUAAAAACAAUCUAUUGCAUUUUUUUGUUUUGUUUUUAUCAAUCCCACAAAAGUAUUGAGCAUUGUAACUGAAAGAUAAUGAACGACGUAUCGGAUUAUUCAUUUUGAGGUUAAAAUGAACAUUUUAAAAUUACCUUGACUAACGCGUAGGUACAAAAUAUUAUCAUAAUUUGCUACAAAUAUUCAAGCAUGAUAGGUACCUACUAUUUUUCACCUUCGUUUUUAGUUGCUAGUUGCUACACGAGUACCCAGCACUUACUUACCUAUAAGUAUACGAAUAUAAUUUCAGCCCGUGAGAAUAAACUCGCGUUGCAAGAAAACAUGAAAUCACAUUUGUUUUCAUUUUUGUUUGCUAUACUGUGGGUUGUUCUUUUACAACUAAUGGCAAUGUCAGAAUCUACCGACUCACCUGAAGAAUGUUUACAGCAUACAAGGGAAGGAAAAAUCUGUUCAUGUGCUGGUGGUAGAUAAUUUAUCUGAUGGUAAAAAAUAAUUCAACGACGAGGGUAUACCUUGUAUGUAUUAACGCUCACUUGCUAAAAAUCUGGUAUUUUAUUUUAUUAUGAAUUUUUCAAUAAUAAUAAUGAGAUAUACACCUAUAAAUGCUAAUAAAGUUAACUUUAUGUUUAUGAAAUAAUAAAAAAUUUAAAAACACUUCAA